UUAAUGACUCUCGGCAACGGAUAUCUCGGCUCUCGCAUCGAUGAAGAACGUAGCGAAAUGCGAUACUUGGUGUGAAUUGCAGAAUCCCGUGAACCAUCGAGUCUUUGAACGCAAGUUGCGCCCGAAGCCAUUUGGUCGAGGGCACGUCUGCCUGGGCGUCACGU
rnacentral:rRNA from 1 species